ACAUAAAAUCUGGAAAACCUUCUUUAAUGAGUUUAUGAAUUAUUAUCUAAAAUUUUGUUUUCAACAUGCAUAAACCUUCAUAAGGGAACUGAACUGAACGCACUAAUCAUCGUUAUUUGUUUACAAGUAAAUUCAGAUAUACCUAUCUGGUAAUGUUGGUUCAUUUCUAAAUACAAUACAAAGUUCGAGGUCCAGUGUUGUUGGGAUUUCAUCGAUUCUGGAUUUCUGAAAUUUGCAGAUUUUAGGUAUUCAGUUUAAAUCUGUCUUCCAGUAUGAGUGCAUUUAAGCGCAUCAUGGACAGGCAUGGUCCCGUCAUUGUGUUUAUUCCAGGAAUUAUAAUUAUUCAUUGGGCAUGGUUCAGACUACAAGAAAAUGAAGUAUUUGUUCCCAGAGAAAUGAAAGAUAAUAAUCCAUUUAACUUUAUGAAACAUAAAAUAAGUUCAUUAAUUGAAAGUGUACGUUCUGGUAGAUCUGAGACUGGUUCAAGUACAUCUGAAUGAGUUGCAGAAACAUGUAAUCUUUUAUCAAAUAGUUGUUGUAAAAAGUAAAGUAUGUUAUUCUGGAAUGUAAAAUAAAUUUUUCAAAAACUUUA